CAAAAUUUGUAAAAAAACGGUUCAGUUUACAUAUCUUUGUGAAAAAGUAAGUAAUAUAUUAAGUAAGUCUACUCAAUGUUUCAGUUUGUUUAGAAACGUUAAAUGAUUUACAUGCAUCGCAACCGCCAAACUUGACACUCCAGAAAACUAUACAUUCUCAAAACUCACAACGCGUAAAUGAACUUGACAAUUUAUCAGAUAUGUUACCAUCUGAUACAGAGUCACAUCAAUAUGCAGCAUCCUCUAUGCAAGACACAGCAGCAUUGUCUCCUCCUAAGUAUAAAUUCAAAAAUCGGUUUCAGCACAGAUCUUUAUGUCAACAACAUAAAAAUCAAUCACAAGGUAAAGAAACAACUGUCAGUGCUAAUGUAAAUAGUGAGAAUGCUGGUGAAAGUGCUGUUGGCAUAGAUGAUAACGAUACAGAUGAUGAAUUAGGGGGAUUAGAUCUUAGCAAUUUAAAUAAUCUUGCUGCGAAUAACGCUGAUAUACAUGACAUUACUGCUGCAGAUGUUGACGCUAGAGAUGAUGGUGCUAAUUAAUUAGGAGGUUUUAAUCUAAGCAAUGUUCGUGCAAAUAACGUUGCACAAAAUCUUGCUGCAAAUAACGCUGCUCCAAAUAACAUUGCUGCUAAAGAUGUUGACGCUAGAAAUGAUGGCGCUGAUGGACCAGACAAUAUUGUUAAUGGAGAAAAUGACGAUGUUAUUCAAGAAGAGAUUGAUGACGAAGAACAGUUAGAGGAUAAUAUAGAAAAUGAAGCAGAUAAUAACCAGAAUCGUGGUAAUGAUGGGAACCAGAAACGUAAAACCAUUAAAAUGAAAGAUUUUAUAUUAAAUUGUGUAAACUAUUACAAAGCAAAAGAAGGCCAUGGUUUUGAUGAAAGACAAAAAAGAUAUACAAUAGAAAAUGAUGAGAUAUAUCUUGGAGAAAACAAAAGUGUACAAGUAUUGGAAUGGGAGAUGAGCCUUGAGUGACCACCCAUAUUCCUUGUUCAAAGUGCACUACAUUUAUGGGACAUUAAAGAGUUUGCUAACAGAGCCUUUGAAAUUCACGAUGACAUGAAGAAUAUUCCAGGAAGAUUACCAAUAAAACUUAUCGAAAGAAAUCUUCUGCGAUUAUUAAUAAGUUUAUACCAUGAUUAUUUGAAACGUAAUAGGUGUUUAGAUCAUGAGUCAAAAGCAUCGUACUUGUUAAAAGCAACAUACACAUUAAGAAAUAAAAUGAGAAUAUUGAGGUCACAGGAGAAGAAGGCUAGAACACCACGUAAUGCACAAAAUGCAAGACGGAGGCUCAGUUAUAACAGCAUUGAAUAACUUUACUUUUUCUUGGUGUAUAACAAAUUAUCACGUUAUUUUUGUAAGACUUCAAAUAAUUUUAAAAGUAUUGAAGAUCAGUGAUACAUUUGUUUUAGAUCAUCAGAAGAAUUUAUGUCGUUAUUGGUUACAUAACCUAGAUACCUAAAAGAUAAGCUUAGUAAAUUUAGUACAUUUGUAAUUGAACAUGUUUAUAGUGAUUGUUACUGAUCAUUUUAUUUCAUCCUACUCUGGAUGUAAUAAUACCUUGACUAACAUAUUUUUAAUAAUGUAACAAAUGUAAUUUGUUGAAAAAAAUAUGUAUUUGGUACGUCUUAAAGUCGUAUUUUGUAUGCUAAAUUUGCAAUUGGUAUUGCAAAUGUAUUUUAUAGAAAUGCUGUGCGGAUAAUAAUAGAUUAUAUGGCUAUGUAUAUGUUAUUAAGGAUUCAAUUAAAAUUAACAUAAGUUUUAAAAGUAAAAUAACAAUUAACAUACACAUAUAAUCUAUUUUUGAUGUUGUUGUAUACCUGGUAUUUCCUUUAAU